AAUGAAUUUGGCUAAGGAAGCUGUGGAUGCUUUACAUAGCCUCUAUCAAACAGAGUAUACAUAUGGAUCAAUUGCUACCACAAUUUAUCCUUGUUCUGGAAAUUCCAUAGAUUGGGCUUACGAUGAAGAAUAAAAUAUUCAUUCGCUUUGAGCUUCGUGACUAUGGCCAGAACGGUUUCCUCCUGCCUGAAAGUCAGAUAAAACCUACUGUAAGGAAACCAUGCUGGCAAUCAAAGUAAUUGCCAAGCAGAUUGUCAACAAUGCUCAGUGAACACUUGGUCACACUUCCUUAUAAAAGAACUCUCUUUUCCUUGGCUGCAAUUGUCUCCCUUGAUUCUACCUGUAAUUAUAGAUUACAGAUUCUCUUUCUGAUUUUUCUAUUCCACUGAUAUUUUGUUGUCUUUCCCUUUGAUGCUUUUCAGCGCUAAUUAAAUUUGAAAAUGCAGUUUGAA